CCACAUUAAAUUGAUAUGGAGAUGAAACGGGGUGUGAGUGUGAUUAACAGCUGCAGAGCUGCACUCAACACAGCCUCUCUGUAAUGUUUAUGCAAAUCUGCAUCUCCUCUUGUAAUAUUAGCAGCGUUCUGAUCUAGAGAGGAAACACUUCUCAUUAGUCUUCCUUCAACACAAACAUGUUUGCUUCAGCUCCACUGCUGCUGCUGGCUCUCGCCCCCUAUGUGUUCUGUGCUACUGAGCUCAUCCAGCCAGACUCACUGCUUAUAAAGCCAGGAGAGACUUUAACCAUCACCUGUAAAGUGUCUGGAGCUUCUAUCACUGAUAGCAGCCACUAUGGAACAGCUUGGAUUCGGCAACCUGCAGGAAAAGCUUUAGAAUGGAUCAACAAUAUUUAUUAUGAUGGGAGUAUUCAAAAGAAAGAUUCACUUAAAGACAAGUUUGUGGUCUCUCGAGACACUUCCAGUAACUCUGUGACCUUACGGGGACAGAACAUGCAGACUGAAGACACAGCUGUGUAUUACUGCGCUCGUUAUCCACACAGUGACACAACAAGCUGCAGUGCUGCACAAAAACCUCAUCACAAUUCACUUCUUUAAUUAAAUAACAACUACAUUUUACUGAGUAACUAAUCCCCAUAUUACAAUUAUUUCAGCAUAGACACCAACACUGGCAUUAAUAAAAUAAAUACAUAAAACUUUACUUAGGAAUAAUAGUCUCUUUUUUAACCAGUUGAAAUGAAAUGUGUCUGCAAAAGACAUUUAUUAUAAAGAACAACAUCCAUUCAAACUCAGCACUCAGGCUUUAACUCUUCAUCCUGAAUGAACAAAAACCAUCCAAAAACUCCUCAAACUAUAUCUAAUAAUUAAUAAGAAUCCCAUGCAAUUAAAUGUGAAAUAUGAACAUUGUAUAAUUUGAUUACGUAUUUUUUGGUAAUGUACCAAUGAAUAGGAAAAAAACAAACACAAAGUUUUUAUCAUCUCACCAAAUGAGUUUUAUUAAAUGAUCAUUGGAAAACCAGAAUUAGCUAAAAUGUAAACUUUAAAUAUUUUUAUUUCAUGUUUCUGUACUUGUGUAAAGCUGCUAUGAGACGAUGUCAAUUGUUAAAUGCAUUACAGAAAUAAAUUGAGUUGAACUGACAGAUUGAGAAAUAUGGAAGCUAAUGUUCACAAAGAGAGAAAAAGAGCUCAGUGCCAUAAUCAUUGAGACUAAUAUUGAUUUCCCAAUUAACUGAUUAUUUAA